UGCCCAUGAUCCUUCCUAGCAAAACUCCAGACUGUACUAUUGAAAAGUUUUCGUGUCCUGCCAGACGGCAAAUCAAACCCUAAGAUGUUAGUAUUAUCAGCACCCACCAAUACUUCCGCACUGGUCUGGGGCUUCCCAGAGCCGGGUUGCUUGGGGAUGCAGCCCAAAGAGGGUGAAAAGCUCCAUCUAAGGCUAAAUACUGGUACGAGAUCGAUAAUCAACAAGUACCGUAAGG
rnacentral:ncRNA from 1 species